CCACCUGUGGCUUCUUGCGGGGUCUCCGACCCCGGACCAGGUGGCUGAGAAAGUACUCAUUGACCGGCUGCUACGGGCCCUGCCCCGCCCGCUGAGGCGCCCGGUCAGUAUGCGAAACCCCCAGGACGUCCACAGUCUGGUAGAGGCGGUCGAACUGGUGGUGGCAACGAACGCCCGCGAGGCAGGGGAGAGAGUGCUGCAGGGUGAUGGAGCGGCGUCCGCUCGAAGGUGCACCAGGCAGCAGACCGGUGGUCCUCUACGGGGCGGAUGAGCCAAUACCCACGGAACCCCCAGCUCCGACGGCCCGGGCAUGGGUGGCGGGGUGUUUCCUGCACCAGGACGGAUGUCCCCCGGGCCCCAGCAGGAUGGUACAACUGGAUGGGAAGCCCGUCCAGGCCUUCUUGGACUCCGGCAGUUCAGUCACCCUCGUGCAACCGUCCCUGGUACGACCCAGGCCCGAGCAGAAAUCCCAGUUGCCGCUGACGUGUGUGCACGGAGACACCCGCUGGGUAACGGCCCGGACGGUGCGGAGCCCGGGACCUGGGCCAUCGAGGUGGGCAUUGUGCCGGAUCUCCCUGUACCUCUGCUCCUGGGACGGGAUUGGCCGGGGUUCCAGAAGCUCCUCCUUGGAUCCAGGAUGCCACGCUGUACCGCCCGGAAUGGGCCACGGCGACCCCGUCGGGGACCGCCCAGCCCCAGGCCGGUCUACCUAGCGACGGACAGCGAGAGGGAGGGUGAGUGUCAGCCUCCUAAUCUGCCAUCUGUCUACCUUGAUGUGUUUUCCCAGGUCACGACCGGGGGCUCGUUUGGAAGGGAACAACGCGAGGACGACCGCCUACGGAACUGCUGGGAUCAAGUGCGCCGCAUUGAUGAGGUAGACAGGCUCCCGGGGCCUCACCCCCUCCCUCAUUUUGAAAUAUGCAAUGGUCUGCUGUACUGUGUCGCCCACAGGCGAGGGGAGGACAAAUUCCUCCUGGUAGUGCCUACCACCAAGACGGAGACGUUCAUGGAGCUGGCCCACGGCCACCCAAUAGCGGGACACCUAGGAGCCGACAAAACCGUCCAGAUCACCC
rnacentral:lncRNA from 1 species